GACAUCUGAAUUGUCGUUCUAUAGGUGAAGCACCUUACAACCACUUUGCCUCUUGGCUCCUGAGUAGCAGUCUCUCUUGGCCCCCAAAAAGGUCAUCAGAAGGAGGCUGGGGAUUUCAGUAGGGAAAAUUUCCCAAUCAAGUUAUUCUCCUGAAUUUUAGACAGUCUCUAAUGACACCUACUUAACUUUCCCGAUCGGAUUUUAGCCAGACGUGUACAGAACGUUUAACCCGGGAAGCAGAGUGCAGCCCAAAUCCUCUGUGAAUCCAGCCGUGUAUUUUCAACUGUCAGAAGACGUGCUCAUGCUUCAUAUGUAAACACAGUACAAGACCAGCUUAAAUGAAUUAAUUCUUCCCUCAAGGAUCUCUCCUUAAUGGAGGAAUUUCCAGAACAUCCCAGGAAUAUCCCAGCCUGAGACCAGCGAUAUGCCUGCCCUAGCCUCAGAUUUAUUUGUCUGAGGUAGGAGAGGGGUCAAAAGCACUCAGCCUUCCACUUUGGUUUCUUGUGGCUGUGUCCAGUCAAGUUGAACCCUCCAGAGAUGGAGAUUCCCCAACCUCUGCUGAAUGCUGUGUGCUGCAAUGCAUUGGAUUCAAGUGCCGAGGGCUCAACAGGUGGUGCUGGGAUAAAGUUCUGGCAAAUCAAAUAGUGGCAGGCCGAGGUUGUCACACUGACUGCCAGGGCUGCGGGCAGGCGACGGGACCACUGCCUGGGCCCUGGCCUGGGGCACACCAGACAGAACAAAACAUGAGAAACUACUGGACAUGGCACAAGAAGUUGCUGGAUGUGACAGAUUGCAGGUAUGAAGAUACCUGGGAACAGCAAGACAUUGGCUGAGAAUAAGGAUGCUAAUUCAACAUAACCCUCUUCACAGUCCCAUUCUUGGACUGACAGUGUUCCUGGGGAAGCAGGGCACAGCUCCGUUAACCCAGCAAAGUUGCACCCAGCUGCCUCAGGAGUUCAGCAUUUGGCAGGUUCACUACAAGGGACUGACUCAGAAGGUACAAACUAUUAUUAAAUUCUUGGCCUCUUUAGGAAUACUUUCACUGUACAACUAUAUUUCUAGACUGACCUGGGACAUGCCAUGAGGACCAAUCCCUGCUCUCUAUGAUUUACCAUUAAUGUUCACUGCAUGGGAGAAAGUAUUCUGGUUUUUCUUUUUUUCUUUUACAUAACCAUGUUGAAUAUUUAUCUUAAACCUCAGGUAGCUGUUCAAAAAAGAAACAGCUGAGAAGCAGAUAAAUGUACCCCUUUCACUGACAAAAGAUUUAUGUCUUGCCUGGCAGGACUUCAUACUUACAGAGCUCACAGCUGACAUAGUCAAACACAAGUAGCACGUAGUCCAGUGUUUAUCCAGGGGAACCAAGACUGCUUCUCCCACACUUUUUUUUGGUGUGAAAUAAAUCAGCCACAUUGAAAUUGGCAAAGAUUAAAAACAUGAUAAAAUUCCUAUUAAAAAGGGAGGAGGGACACUCAGAAGCCAUUUGAAUCAAUGAAUACCAUGCAAAAAUAAGGAGGGUAUGCAUGAACAUUUCUGCUGACCUUCUGUAGGAGCCAUUGUCUAGUUGCAAGGUGCCCUCUCCCCCAUAGGAAUGGGUGGGGAGUUCAGCCACAACACUGACCACCCUUCCCCACAGCUGUCAAAACUAUUGUAGUUUGGCUCUAGCAUGUGUAUCAUUAAAUUCCAUGCUGUGCCAAAAAGAGAAGGGAAAUCGUAUGAAACGUGUUCUUAGAUAUGUCUUUGCUAGGGACUGCAUAUAGCUUGGUGUCACUGACUGCCAAGAGAGGUUUAUCUGCAUUUCAGCACAAGUUUUAGUCAACAUGUAUAAAAAAAAACCAACUUUUUUUUAAGUAGGGUGUGAGAAAUUUAGAUUAGAAUAGUAAAAUUCUGCAUUUGCCAGGAGAUCCUUAAUUUUCUCCAAGAAUAAUAUGACCAUUUCCACAACCUUUGCCAGAGCUCAAAUGAAGGAGAAGGAAUAAAUGCUUUUUUAGGUAUAGUGCUGAU